AUCGUUGAGUCCUCCGAGCUGUAAAUUGUCUCGGUGUGUUCGACGUAGCAAAAGGAGAAGAAACAAAAGGAAAUGGAUAGAUGUCUGUCCGAGAUAAAUCGGCUGACAGUUUGGUAAAUGGAAAGAAAACGGUCGGACGAUUCUGGAGAAAUAAACGCCCUGCUCAAAGUUCCUGCGCUGAAAAAAUCUGUACCGGGAAAAAGAAAAGUCCCCUCUCUCUCUGUGGGGCGUAUUUACCAGGGAGACACACUCACGCGGAAGAAUAUUGACAUCACGUCGUCAUCGCCCCGUUUCCCCCACCCACCUCCUCAAUCAAUCGAUUGAUGGAACGUAGCCAAUCAACGCUCAAAGUUAUGUAGGUGUCCCGAGAUCAUCAAUCACCCUGGGUGCCCGUGUUAUAACCUGCGUGUAUUUGCAAGAGCCCCAAUUUCAGAUGCUGCGGGUGUGGAAAUCAGGAGCGGGAGUUUCGAUUCAUCAUCGUUGGAGAAGCAAAAAUAAGGGUCUUCCCCCCCCCCACACGUCCUGUCGUCCCCGGUCGGGACCCUUGGAAUGAAUAACUGCUCCCGAAAAAAGUUGGAUGGGUUCAUGGCAUGGGUCCCACUGGGCCACCGGCGCGCCUACGCAGAUAAAUAUUUUUCACGGUGGCAAAUUGAUGAUGUGCAAUUUCAUUGAAAAAAUUUCCGCUGCGCUAUCGAUUCAUCUUCUUGGGUGCUGGGCGACGAAUUUUGGCGCUUUUGAAAAUCCCCCUCCCCAUCUGAUCCUGCACAUAUUUGCACGAUAGCCUCGGCAACUGUGUCAAUAGCCAAGUCGGGGAUGAUGUGAUGGGUGGGGACUUACUCGGAUGAUUGAAGUCUUACCGACGCUCUUGGCGCCGAUAAAAGCGAUGGUCAAUCUCUUGGUAGUUGAGCCGACAUUCUCGCCACCGGCGUCACCUCCUCCGGCCAUUGACAGGAAUUUCUUUUUUCCUAUUUUCUUUCCUGUUU